GUUAAAUUUGGAGAAUUGAUUGAGGUAUCCAGAACACACAUGCUGAAGUGUUUGGAAGGAACAGGGGCCUUUGCACUUCCAGACUGAAUUCACAGGUUUUCUCACAGCAAGGGUUGGGAGAAUGUCAUGGCGAUGGGAAGGUUCAUGCAUUGUGUGAGUGCUGAGGCUGGUGGUAGGAUGUCUCAUUGUGCCCCAUUUCUGCUGGUUCUGUGGGAUACUUGGAGUUCACUAGGAGCAUCCUUUUCAGCACAGUGGAUUCUGCAUAUUUGUGAAUCACCUGUUCUGCUGACCUGAUGUGUUUCCCGACAAUGUGUUACAAGUGCUCCAUCAGUUGCUCCAUCACCUGCUGAGUGCUGCCACUGCCAUGAAGGGAAGCCUUUGGAAGUUGGGACCAGAAAAGAAGAGUUGGCCCAAAAUCUUUGUAUUUCCUAGGGAUCCAAUAAAGAAUGGAAGGUGCUCAGCCGCUAGUUUUAAUUACUGACUUAAGGAAAACUAAGUUACUGUGUACAUAUCUGUGUACAGGCUAAGUUUCCUGAUGUUCUGUGGCAAAUUCCAGGUAAAAUUCGGAUUUAAAUGGCAAAAUAAGAACUGGAGAUGCAGUUCCCAGCUUCACUCCUGAAGGCAAAGCUGUAGAGUUUAAUUAACCAAUUGGUUAAUUAAAUUAUCAGUUCAGCACAUGUAUUACUUGACUGAGCUUCUGCAGAAACCAGUUUUAUAUUUUAGACCAGCUUUAACAGCAGAGCUGGAGUCGCAGAGCUCAGACAGCACUGGAUGUGUCAAAUGACUGUAAAGAUGUUUUGUGGGCAAAGAAAUUCCUGUUCUUCUUUGGGUAGAGAAUGUUUGUUCUGUGUUUUGUGUUUAAUUGGAAGAGGAGAAGCUUCACAAUAAAAGAUGAUUUAGACCAA